GCACAACCCAUUUACAGAGCUCGAAGAUGAGGACGUAUUAGGAUAUGUCCGAGCUGGACAUGCAUCACCUCAAGCUUCUUGUUCAAGCUUAAAUACCUCACUGGAAACCAGUGCCAUCACCUAUGCUCCCUAUGCUGCUGCCACAUCUAGCAGAAGGAUUUCACUGGAUACUGCGAGCACCUCCACUCCUGUGACCCCUACCAGAGGGAUUAUAUUGGUAAGAACUAUCAGGAGGGCUACUGUUUCAUCUCAGACCACAGAGGGAA